AGAGUUUGAUCCUGGCUCAGAUUGAACGCUGGCGGCAGGCCUAACACAUGCAAGUCGAGCGGUAGAGAGAAGCUUGCUUCUCUUGAGAGCGGCGGACGGGUGAGUAAUGCCUAGGAAUCUGCCUGGUAGUGGGGGAUAACGUUCGGAAACGGACGCUAAUACCGCAUACGUCCUACGGGAGAAAGCAGGGGACCUUCGGGCCUUGCGCUAUCAGAUGAGCCUAGGUCGGGUUAGCUAGUUGGUGAGGUAAUGGCUCACCAAGGCGACGAUCCGUAACUGGUCUGAGAGGAUGAUCAGUCACACUGGAACUGAGACACGGUCCAGACUCCUACGGGAGGCAGCAGUGGGGAAUAUUGGACAAUGGGCGAAAGCCUGAUCCAGCCAUGCCGCGUGUGUGAAGAAGGUCUUCGGAUUGUAAAGCACUUUAAGUUGGGAGGAAGGGUUGUAGAUUAAUACUCUGCAAUUUUGACGUUACCGACAGAAUAAGCACCGGCUAACUCUGUGCCAGCAGCCGCGGUAAUACAGAGGGUGCAAGCGUUAAUCGGAAUUACUGGGCGUAAAGCGCGCGUAGGUGGUUUGUUAAGUUGGAUGUGAAAUCCCCGGGCUCAACCUGGGAACUGCAUUCAAAACUGACUGACUAGAGUAUGGUAGAGGGUGGUGGAAUUUCCUGUGUAGCGGUGGAAUGCGUAGAUAUAGGAAGGAACACCAGUGGCGAAGGCGACCACCUGGACUAAUACUGACACUGAGGUGCGAAAGCGUGGGGAGCAAACAGGAUUAGAUACCCUGGUAGUCC
rnacentral:rRNA from 1 species